ACUUAUUAUAUUCUGGUGUAUAUGUCAUGUUUCUGACGUCUGCUCCCAUUACUACUAAAGUGGAACUUCAAAAAUCUGCUAUGCGCACUCUCCUUCUCCCUCCCUCCCCCAACCCCCAUCAUAGUGUGCCGUCUCUCCCGUCAACUUUCUUUUUAAUUUCCCCCCACUAAGAUGGGUCAGUGACCCAUACCACGACGGCCACUCCAAAAAGGAUACCGAAGCCCAAGUAGUCC